rnacentral:misc_RNA from 1 species
GUAGGUGAACCUGCGGAAGGAUCAUUAACACGUUCCAAAACGUUCAUAUCAACACCAAACGGUUCAGUGCAACAGUACUCCCUAACAAGAGGGUUCAGCUGCUCUUCUUCUUCUCCAGUGAUAGGUGGGUCCGCAAGGACUCGCGGAGAGACGUUGGGCUAGGGUCUCGAACCCAAGGCUCCUUUUGUUAGGCUUUUUCCCCCCUUUUCUCUAUCACUAACCAACUAACCACUUUCACCCCUUUAAAACA